ACGAACGCUGGCGGCGUGCUUAACACAUGCAAGUCGAACGGAAAGGCCCUGCUUUUGUGGGGUGCUCGAGUGGCGAACGGGUGAGUAACACGUGAGUAACCUGCCCUUGACUUUGGGAUAACUUCAGGAAACUGGGGCUAAUACCGGAUAGGAGCUCCUGCUGCAUGGUGGGGGUUGGAAAGUUUCGGCGGUUGGGGAUGGACUCGCGGCUUAUCAGCUUGUUGGUGGGGUAGUGGCUUACCAAGGCUUUGACGGGUAGCCGGCCUGAGAGGGUGACCGGCCACAUGGGGACGGAGGUACGGCCCAGGUCCCUACGGGGGGCAGCGGGGGGGAAUAUGGCACAAGGGGGGGAGGCCUGAUGCAGCAACGCCGGGGGGGGGAGGAGGGCCUUCGGGUGGUAACCCGCUUUCCCCUGGGACGAAGGGUGAGGGAGGGUAAUGGGUAAAGAAGCACCGGCUAACUACGG
rnacentral:rRNA from 1 species